rnacentral:rRNA from 1 species
AUUGAACGCUGGCGGCAGGCUUAACACAUGCAAGUCGAGCGGUAACAGGGGAGCUUGCUCCUGCUGACGAGUGGCGGACGGGUGAGUAAUGUCUGGGAAUCUGCCUUGUGGAGGGGGAUAACCACUGGAAACGGUGGCUAAUACCGCAUAAUGUUGCGAGACCAAAGCGUGGGACCUUCGGGCCACGCGCCACGAGGUGAGCCCAGAUGGGAUUAGCUAGUAGGUAGGGUAAAGGCCUACCUAGGCGACGAUCUCUAGCUGGUCUGAGAGGAUGAUCAGCCACACUGGGACUGAGACACGGCCCAGACUCCUACGGGAGGCAGCAGUGGGGAAUAUUGCACAAUGGGGGGAACCCUGAUGCAGCCAUGCCGCGUGUGUGAAGAAGGCCUUCGGGUUGUAAAGCACUUUCGGUAGUGAGGAAGUGUAAUGGGUUAAUAGCGCAUUACUUUGACGUUAACUACAGAAGAAGCACCGGCAAACUCCGUGCCAGCCGCCGCCGUAA